CAGCAGCCACGGUAAUACAGAGGGUGCAAGCGUUAAUCGGAUUUACUGGGCGUAAAGGGCGCGUAGGUGGUUAUGUAAGUGAGAUGUGAAAUCCCCGGGCUCAACCUGGGAACUGCAUCUUAUACUGCGUAGCUGGAGUGCAGUAGAGGGUAGUGGAAUUUCCAGUGUAGCGGUGAAAUGCGUAGAUAUCGGAAGGAACACCAGUGGCGAAGGCGGCUACCUGGACUGACACUGACACUGAGGCGCGAAAGCGUGGGGAGCAAACAGGAUUAGAUACCCCAGUAGUCCCUGUCUCUUAUAC
rnacentral:rRNA from 1 species